rnacentral:tRNA from 1 species
GCGGGUGUAGCUCAGUUGGUAGAGUCCUAGCUUCCCAAGCUAAUUGUCGCGAGUUCGAAUCUCGUCACCCGCUCCA